UAGGCAUGGUUAUUUCUCUUGUAAAGCUUUUUUAAGUGUAUUGUAUUAAAUUGACUUGUAAUUGUAUUUUUUAAGUGUGAUCCAACAAAAUAUAAUAUUAUUUUGGGAGCUGUCCUUGAGCCCGGGCACUGGACAUUGGCUGUAAGAGGACUGCUCGUUUUUUUUGAUAACCUUUGAUAAGAAUUUAAAUAUAUCCAAUAGAUGUGAAAGAAUAUAUGAUUAAUAACAAUUUCUAUAGGCAAUCUUUCCAUCUGAAAGAAGAAGCCUUAUAUUGGAUCCCCUGGGAAAUUAUUCGAAAAAACUUCAACAGUGUUUGCAGUCCACAAGGUAACCACUGAAUUUACCUGAGACAACUGGGCAAGAGCAUCUCCAAAACUAUAGCUCUUGUGGGGUUUACUAGUCUGCAGUGGCAGUAUCUAUCAAAAGUGGUCCAACGAAGGAACAGUGAUGAACUUGCGUCUCAUUGGCUGCUUGAUUAAAGACUGACCUGUGUGGUCCGAUCCAACAGACGAGCUACUGUAGCUCAAAUUGCUGAAGAAGUUCAUGCUGUUUACGGCUGUUUUAGCAGCAAAAGGGGGACCAAUAUGUGUAAACAUGUAAUUGGCAUAUUUUUACUUUUCUUAUACCUUUUAGGGCCUUCAUCAGAAAACAAGGCUGCCAUGUAUUCAGAUGGGCAUCCAGCACAGAUGCACACUGUUGUCAGAAAGAUGCCACCUCAUGUGGGAUAUUUGUCCUGAAAAUGACCUAACUGAGCUGUGCCACAACUGUGGGGAGAAGAGCAAUGGGCAAAAGAAGACAGUGAGGAAAAAAAAUGAACAACCCCUAUCAUCUACUUGGAUUCAGUGUGACGUGUGUGACCGGUGGUUUCAUAUGCAGUGUGUUCAGGAGAGCGAUCCCAUCAAGUCCUACAGCUGUGCGGCGUGCACAUUUUAAAAUUCUCCUUCCUUCCCGUUAUGAUUUGCUAUUAAUAUUUUAGUAUUAAAGUUACCAUUAAAACAAA